rnacentral:rRNA from 1 species
UACAGAGGGGGCGAGCGUUGUUCGGAAUUACUGGGCGUAAAGGGCGCGUAGGUGGCCUGUUAAGUCGAACGUGAAAUCCCCGGGCUCAACCCGGGAACUGCGUCCGAGACUGGCAGGCUUGAAUCCGGGAGAGGGAUGUGGAAUUCCAGGUGUAGCGGUGAAAUGCGUAGAUAUCUGGAGGAACACCGGUGGCGAAGGCGGCAUCCUGGACCGGUAUUGACGCUGAGGAGCGAAAGCGUGGGGAGCAAACAGG